AGCCUGCCCAGUGAAAAUUUUUAACGGCCGCGGUACUUUGACCGUGCUAAGGUAGCGUAAUCAGUUGACUUUUAAAUGAAGUCUUGUAUGAAUGGAUCUAUGGNAUUAAGCUGUCUCUUAUCUACUAUACUGAAAUUACUAAUUAGGUGAAAAGGCCUAAAAAUGAAAAAGGACGAGAAGGCCCUUAGAGUUUUGAUUAUAAAUUUUUGUUGGGGCGACGGGAAGACAUUAUAACUCUUCUAUAAUAAGACUUACUUGCCGGUUUUUUCAAGUAUGGAUAAACUACCUGAGGGAUAACAGCAUAAUCCAUUAAUGGGUUUGUGACCUCGAUGUUGGACUAGGAAACUUAUAUUCUAGCAGAAUAUAUAGUUAGGUUCUGUUCGAACUUUCUCUCCUACGU
rnacentral:rRNA from 1 species